GUAUCUUUCAGCCUAAAGACAGUAUAAAAAGCUCGAGGCCUAUGCCUCUGGGUACCCCUGGCCUAGAAGAUUCUUCACUCUGUGUGGACUGCGGAGAAUGAUGAACUUCAGGUACGCCUCCACGAGCAGCAAGGAUGCACCAGGUAGCCAGAUCUAAUCACACUGACUAACCUUGAUCUCACAUAUGCCCUUUCCACAUCUUGUUUGCCAGUUCCGUACCAAAACAUAGAAAAAAGGAGAAGGAAGGAAGGAUGGAAGGGAGGGAGGGAGGAAGGAAGAAAACUUCAGCGGGACCUCGCGUGCUGGUGCCUGUGCUGCGUGCGCACCACCAGGGGGCGCACUCACCUAGAGUCCAUGCUUGAUGGCAUUUCCUGGGAUCGUGCGCCGCGUAGGUCCUGGCCUCAGGGGAGUCCAGCGGUGACGAUCACAGGCCGGAACCCCGCCAUCCCCUGUCAUCGAGGUGAUGUAACCGAGACCCAGGCCUCUCCGGGGCACUCUGCCUGGUCUCGUGGAACAGCGAGUCCUCCAAGCCUGCAUUAGGGGCCCCAGCAGCCUGGACACACCAUUGUUAAGAAAUAGAAACAGAACAGCAGCAAUUUCCAUCCCUUCUGAGAACAUCCCUCCAAGAAGAAUGGUGCUGACACCCUCAGCCACGUUCCGACGAUCAGGAUUCUGGAAAGUGCCUGUGCUAAGAAGACAAGCAGUUGAGGCAAGAAAGCUCUAUGUAUCUAUUUAUUUGCCUCCCAGACAAUAAUCAUUUCUAGAAUGUGAUGGAAUUCUCCCCUUAGGUAAUAUUUCUCCACCUUCCAGUCUGUUCCGUAAAAUGUGACUGAUAUGUUUAGCAACUUGCAACUCCCACUUCUGUUGAAUUUAGUUGGGAAUGUUGUAUUGAAUUUAGAUAGAUAUGUUGUCAGUAAAAUAAUUUAAGAAUCUCUUUAUAUCACAACAGCAAUUAGGGAUUGGGUUAAGUGGGAAUUAUAUUGGAACAUGAUUGUGAAUUCUUUACCUUUUUAAAGUAUAACUUUUCUAGCUCUAUCACUAAAACUGAUCUACGGCAAAAUCACCCAUUUCAGACUCAUGGGACAACUUGAUAUGCACCCCUAGAUCCCUGAACGGGGUUUCUAAUACACCACUAAAACCAAAGCUUGGUGAAAAGUAGCUAAUUCCAUACCUUGUUGCCUGAAAUGUCUUAUUCGCAGAAAGCAAAAUCCUUUCAGACCAUCUGGGAUGGCACCAAGAAGACAAGAGCCAGCCUAAAGGAUCUUUCACUAGCCAAAACAUUACAAUUUGAACAAUAAAAAGGAAAUAAUCAUUAUAUGUCA
rnacentral:lncRNA from 1 species